UCUUUCUUGGUCUAGUGGUUAUGAUUUCCGCUUGUCAAGUUGUUCGCAACCCGAUUCGCGGGAGACCGGGGUUCGAUUCCCCGAGAGAGAG